UACGUAGGGGGCAAGCGUUGUCCGGAAUCAUUGGGCGUAAAGAGCGCGUAGGCGGCCCUGUAAGUCCGCUGUGAAAGUCAAGGGCUCAACCCUUGAAUGCCGGUGGAUACUGCAGGGCUAGAGUCCGGAAGAGGCGAGUGGAAUUCCUGGUGUAGCGGUGAAAUGCGCAGAUAUCGGGAAGAACACCCGUGGCGAAGGCGGCACUCUGGGACGGUACUGACGCUGAGACGCGAAAGCGUGGGGAGCGAACAGG
rnacentral:rRNA from 1 species